UACGAAGGGGGCUAGCGUUGUUCGGAAUUACUGGGCGUAAAGGGCUCGUAGGCGGCCAACUAAGUCAUACGUGAAAUCCCUCAGCUUAACUGGGGAACUGCGUGUGAUACUGGAUGGCUUGGAUUUGGGAGAGGGAUGCGGAAUUCCUGGUGUAGCGGUGAAAUGCGCAGAUAUCAGGAGGAACACCGGUGGCGAAGGCGGGUCUCUGGGCCGAUACUGACGCUGAGGAGCGAAAGCGUGGGGAGCGAACAGG
rnacentral:rRNA from 1 species